AAAAAAUUUAUUCCCUGAUCCACAAGCAUGUGGGAGAUAUAAGCUCAAUGUUUUAAAUGGAAAAAUUACCCUUUUUAUUCAUUCUUCUCUCUGGUCGUCUGUGUUAGAAGAUAGAUCCGGAUAUGAGAAUUGUAAGGUUUCGUAUGCUUCAUGCAGUGUUUAUAAGAGGCGGUCAUAUUGACAUAGCUUGGAUUAACAUGAGAAAAAUUUGAAUAUGACAAUGAACUUCAAGUACUAUAUCAACUGGCUCUUCGCUUGUUGCUUAUUUAAAUAAUUUUAUGGAGUCUCACUUGGCUUUUUAUUAAGUUUUAACUCAAUUCGUAGACAAAUAAUUUUCAGUUGCAUCAUUUUGAUGGUACACCGAUGAUAGACAACUGGUUAGCUAUUAUAUCUUGAAUGUGUCAUUUGGCACUUGGAAAGGUGCUAGCAUUGUUACAUAUCAGCUUCUUUAGACAUAUCUUCCUAUACUAAUUUCCGCGGUACAUAUUUGCCUGUAGCGAUUUCGAAGUACAUAUUUGUUAGUACUAAUUCUGCACUACAUAUAUGCGUAAACUGAUUUCACAGUACAUAUUUGCA